AGGAGAGAGAGAGGGGGAGGGAGGAAUUAUUUAAUUUGUGUGAGGGUAAAUUAGUAAUUUUACAUUCUAGUCCGACCUAGGCUUAGUCCGGGACAAAUUGUCCCACCCUCAACCUCGGGACAGCAUAGUCCCCCAUACUCCGGACUAUUAGUCCGAUCCGACUAAUAGUCCGGAGCCAUUUUUGGUAAACAAACGCCGGACUGGACAACGAGUCCAGUCCAGUCCGGCCUAAUCCGGUGAAACAAACGCGCCCUAAG
rnacentral:lncRNA from 1 species